rnacentral:rRNA from 1 species
AAUGAACGUUGGCGGCGUGGAUUAGGCAUGCAAGUCGAGCGAGAACCCGCAAGGGGGACAGCGGCAAACGGGGUAGUAAUGUGUCGGAACGUGCCCAGAGGACGGGGAUAGCGGCGGGAAACUGCCGGUAAUACCCGAUGAUCUCGAGAGAGCAAAGGUGUGAUUCCGCCUUUGGAGCGGCCGACAUGGUAUUAGCUAGUUGGUGGGGUAACGGCCCACCAAGGCUUUGAUGCCUAGGGGAUGUGAGAGCAUGAUCCCCACCAUUGGGACUGAGACACUGCCCAGACACCUACGGGUGGCUGCAGUCGAGAAUCUUCGUCAAUGGGCGAAAGCCUGAACGAGCGACGCCGCGUGCGGGAUGAAGGCCCUUGGGUUGUAAACCGCUGUCGAGGGGGAUGAAGGCAUUCAGGUACUCCUGAAUGUUUGACAGAGCCCUGGAGGAAGCACGGGCUAAGUUCGUGCCAGCAGCCGCAGUAAAAC